rnacentral:rRNA from 1 species
UACAGGGGGUGCAAACGUUGCUCGGAAUCAUUGGGCGUAAAGCGCACGUAGGCGGUCUGUUAUGUCGGAUGUGAAAGCCCUCGGCUUAACUGAGGAAGUGCGCCUGAAACUACUGAGCUUGAGUACCGGAGAGGGCGGUGGAAUUCCCGGUGUAGAGGUGAAAUUCGUAGAUAUCGGGAGGAACACCAGCGGCGAAGGCGACCGCCUGGACGGCUACUGACGCUGAGACGCGAAAGCGUGGGGAGCAAACAGG